UACGGGGGGAGCAAGCGUUGUUCGGAUUUACUGGGCGUAAAGGGCACGUAGGCGGCGUAACAAGUCACUUGUGAAAUCUCCGGGCUUAACCCGGAGCGGCCAAGUGAUACUGUUGUGCUAGAGUGCGGAAGGGGCUACUGGAAUUCUCGGUGUAGCGGUGAAAUGCGUAGAUAUCGAGAGGAACACCUGCGGCGAAGGCGGGUAGCUGGGCCGACACUGACGCUGAGGCGCGAAAGCCAGGGGAGCGAACGGG
rnacentral:rRNA from 1 species